AUGCUCAAAAUUCUCCAAGCCAGGCUUCAGGAAUAUGUGAACCGUGAACUUCCAGAUGUUCAAGCUGGCUUUAGAAAAAGCAGAGGAACCAGAGAUCAGAUUGCCAACAUCCACUGGAUCAUCGAAAAAGCAAGAGAGUUCCAGAAAAAUAUCUAUUUCUGCUUUAUUGACUAUUCCAAAGCCUUUGACUGUGUGGAUCACAAUAAACUGUGGAAAAUUCUGAGAGAGAUGGGAAUACCAGACCACCUGACCUGCCUCUUGAGAAACCUAUAUGCAGGUCAGGAAGCCACAGUUAGAACUGGACAUGGAACAACAGACUGGUUCCAAAGAGGGCAAGGAGUACGUCAAGGCUGCAUAUUGUCACUCUGCUUAUUUAACUUAUAUGCAGAGUACAUCAUGAGAAACGCUGGACUGGAAGAAGCACAAGCUAGAAUCAAGAUUGCCGGGAGAAAUAUCAAUAACCUCAGAUAUGCAGAUGACACCACCCUUAGGGCAGAAAGUGAAGAGGAACUAAAAAGCCUCUUGAUGAAAGUGAAAGAGGAGAGUGAAAAAGUUGGCUUAAAGCUCAACAUUCAGAAAACGAAGAUCAUGGCAUCUGGUCCCAUCACUUCAUGGCAAAUAGAUGGGGAAACAGUGGAAACAGUGUCAGACUUUAUUUUGGGGGGCUCCCAAAUCACUGUAGAUGGUGACUUCAGCUAUGAAAUUAAAGGACGCUUACUCCUUGGAAGAAAAGUUAUGACCAAUCUAGAUAGCAUAUUCAAAAGCAGAGACAUUACUUUGCCAACAAAGGUCCGACUAGUCAAGGCUAUGGUUUUUCCUGUGGUCAUGUAUGGAUGUGAGAGUUGGACUGUGAAGAAAGCUGAGAGCCGAAGAAUUGAUACUGUGGUGUUGGAGAAGACUCUUGAGAGUCCCUUGGACUGCAAGGAGAUCCAACCAGUCCAUUCUGAAGGAGAUCAGCCCUGGGAUUUCGUUGGAGGGAAUGAUGCUGAAGCUGAAACUCCAGUACUUUGGCCACCUCAUGCGAAGAGUUGA
rnacentral:lncRNA from 1 species